rnacentral:lncRNA from 1 species
AGAGAGAACAAAAUGACGUUGUUUAAUGGAUGCUCUUCUAAUUUUAUUUCUUACUACUGUCGGUCACUGUACCAACCCCUCCACUCUUGGAAUUCAAAUCUUUCGAUCUCGCUAAGACUACUAUUUUCACUGUCGUCCUCCUCUUUCUAUUCUCUCCCACAAACCACGGCGGCAACCCCAUCCUACUAAUCUGUCAAGUCAAGACUCUACAUCAGAAUCACGUCC